rnacentral:lncRNA from 1 species
UGAAUACGUGUAAAUCAAAAAGUUCAUAGUGAAUAUCUGAAAAUUGCAUGAAUUGAUAAAGUUUUUCCGGCGUACAUUUAAGUAGUGAAUACUGAAUAAUGCGGAGAGAAGUGUUGCAUUAUUUUCUUUUAUAGAACAGCAAGGCUAACAUCAGCCACCCCGAUACAGCGUCGUGUCGUGUGUUAAGAAGAAGAGUACUUAUAUAAGUAUUAUACUUUUUAUAAAUAGAUUUAUUACAUGACGUAUCCUCCAAUGGCAGAAAUCUCUCACUUUGGCAACAAAAUUUUGACAAAUAGUAUGUGAACAGGUAUCUGAUUUUUGAACUCUUACUUGACAAGACCUUGUUUAAACAUUUUUCCAAAAGAAAAUCAGACGUAGGAAAUAAAGAGUCGGCAACAACCACAAAUGAGUUUAAUAAUCUUUCAAUGCUUUUGGCAUAAGAAUAACUUGUCUCCUUGCUUAUAUCCG